UUCAAAUUCAAAUGAAAUCCAAAUGAAAUUCAAAUUCAAGUAAAAUUCAAAUAAUCCUUAGCCUAGCCUAAUUACCCUAGUCCUUAGGUCCCCUAUUAGUCCUUAGUCCUUUAGUUAGCCCCUAGCCCUUGACCCUAGUUAGCCCUAGUUCCUAAUUAACUCCUAGCCCCUAGUUAGCCCCUAGACCUUCUCCACUAGUGACUAGUUCCUAGCCCUAGUACUCUAACCUCCAACCUUGACCCCUGACCCCAACCUAUUAACCCUAACCACCACCCCAUAACCCUAAACCCCGAACCUCCUAACACCCUAACCUUAAACCCAUAACCCUAACUCUCUAACCCAAUCCCUAACCUUACCCCUUCCCCCUACCCUAACCCUAUCCCUAACCUUAACUCUAACCCCUUCCCCCUAAUACUAACCCCCCUAAUCC
rnacentral:lncRNA from 1 species